UGUGAGACUCACAGCACUGGGUGACCCCUCCAGACGUGGUCAGGUGUGUGUGUGGUCAGGUGUGUGUGUGUGUGGUCAGGUGUGUGUGUGUGUGGUCAGGUGUGUGUGUGUGUGAGACUCACAGCACUGGGUGACCCCUCCAGACGUGGUCAGGUGUGUGUGUGGUCAGGUGUGUGUGUGUGUGGUCAGGUGUGUGUGUGUGUGGUCAGGU